CACGCGCUCUGCUAGGAAGCGGGAGAGAAGGGGAAAGAUGCGGGAGCAGCCCUCCGGGGGGAGAGAAUCUGCGGUGGGCGCAGGCCGGGGGAGCGGGCCCGGCGGGCGGGAGGGGGCUCCUCUGGUCCCCAGGGACCGUCUCCCGUCUCUGCACGCCUGUCUCCCCGCGGUGACCCCGCGCUGGGAGGGAUGCUCGGGGAAGCCUCCAGAGGCCGGAGGGUGCAGCGGGGCUCACGCGGGACUCGGUGAGCAGGAGGGGACACCCGCAGCCCUCCUCCCGCCUCGUGGGCUGGGACACAGCGGAGGCCGACACCCCUCGGGUCUCGUGCCAGGUGAUUACCCAGCGCACCCCCGGCGAUUUCCUCUCCUCCCCCGGGCAGUGCCUGCGGCGCGUUCCCUGAUUCGGCCCGGGCUGCGCAGUCGGCGCCGGGCAACCUGCGGGGGCCGCGUCUUCGUGCGCAGGUGCCCGGGACCCUGCAAGUGGAGAAAAGCGAGGAGGGAGAGAAGCCACGUCUGUCUGUACAUGGUUCAGGCCUGCCACCAUGCCAGGCUGUCAGGACCAGCUGAUGAAACCAUCUCUCUACGUGAGGCCUUGGUUCCCGUGUGCAUGCAUUUCACGUACCCCCAUUCUUGGCGCAACUAA
rnacentral:lncRNA from 12 species